CCGGGCUGCCCGCGGGGCGCGCUGCUCACCUGCCAGGCCCGACGGCACCACGGCGGCCAGAAGCAGCAGCAGCAGCAGCAGGGCCGGCGGCGAGAGCAGCCCGAGGCUCCCGUCCGGGCUGCGGCGGGACAUCGCUCGGCGGCCGCGAUCUCCGCUCGGCUGGACCAGGCGGCUGUUGGCAGAGCGGUUCUGCUGCCGGUGGUGGGGCGCAGCGAUGCAGAGGUUGGAGCGUCCUUAACUUUCCUCUCUCAUGAGCCCGACCUGUUUGGGGCUUUUAGAGGCGAGGAAGGCUCACGUGGCCUUGACGACAACCUUCGCCCUGCUGGGCCCCAGUCGGGGAAGGGCGGGACCUUUCUGACCCUCUAGCGCCCUGUGGGCAGGGCUGGGACAGUUCCCCUGCUCAACUUCUGGGGCCUGCCGAGGCUACGUGCUGCUUUCCCCUCACUCGUCGGGCGGUUUGGCGGCCCUGGGCUGGAACAAAUCAGUUCAUGUCCACACGGCUAGCCUCUAGGGCCGGCCCCUCGUCUGCAGCAGCUGGGAGGAGACCCCCUGGCCGUGGAGAAAUGCAUACCCCUGCCUACACGCAGUUCCGAUUCUUCGCCAUUCUGGAGAGGUCUUCACUGGUCCUUCUAACUCCAGAGAUUUCAAGCAGACGAGUCAUGCUGGAGUGCCAUUAGAAGGGGCAAGAGAUUGCUGCUGGAUGUGAAAGGGGGUUUGAAGAGUUUGAAGUAAUGUGUCUUUACAGUUCCCCAGGUGAUGCAAUGCCCAGCUGCGGUGAAGAGAAGC